rnacentral:rRNA from 1 species
AUUGAACGCUGGCGGCAUGCCUUACACAUGCAAGUCGAACGGCAGCACGGGUGCUUGCACCUGGUGGCGAGUGGCGAACGGGUGAGUAAUACAUCGGAACAUGUCCUGUAGUGGGGGAUAGCCCGGCGAAAGCCGGAUUAAUACCGCAUACGAUCUACGGAUGAAAGCGGGGGACCUUCGGGCCUCGCGCUAUAGGGUUGGCCGAUGGCUGAUUAGCUAGUUGGUGGGGUAAAGGCCUACCAAGGCGACGAUCAGUAGCUGGUCUGAGAGGACGACCAGCCACACUGGGACUGAGACACGGCCCAGACUCCUACGGGAGGCAGCAGUGGGGAAUUUUGGACAAUGGGCGAAAGCCUGAUCCAGCAAUGCAGCGUGUGUGAAGAAGGCCUUCGGGUUGUAAAGCACUUUUGUCCGGAAAGAAAUCCUUGGCCCUAAUACGGUCGGGGGAUGACGGUACCGGAAGAAUAAGCACCGGCUAACUACGUG